CAGUAGGCAAAAACAACACUGUCCAGCCCAUUACUGGCACCAAGCAGCAUCUGAGGGACGGACAGCUCAAACUACACGGAUUCACUCUCCAUUAUGCAAACUCGCCAAGCUCUCGCCCUCUUCCGGACCUGCUGUUCCUGCCGACCACACUCCCUGCAAAGUUACUCCCUGGUGCCUACGCGGCUAGCUCCUUCUCAGCCUUCGUGCCCCUGCUUCAACACACCUCCUCAGAGGUCUUCUUGGAAUACAGUCCACGUGACUCUAAAGUGCAGCCUGAGUUUUGAACCCUUGUACUCAGCAUACAGGUAGAAGAUGGGGAAGGAAGAAAAACUAGCCUGGUAUGGCAGAGAAGACCUUAUACAUCAUAUUGCACUUGUGAUUAACAGUCAGAAGCUCAUGGAAAGGAUCCAA